GAAGUAAAAGUCGUAACAAGGUCUCCGUUGGUGAACCAGCGGAGGGAUCAUUAU
rnacentral:rRNA from 2 species